UUGAAUAUCGUCAUAAUUAUUUGCUUUCCUAUCAAUUUCCCAACAGUAAUUUGUCUACCCACCGCUUGAUAUUUUCUCGAGAGAAGCCACUAGUGAAACCUAUGGCCCCCGGGUCUACUUCACAUCAUCUAUUUGCAAUCUCUACUUUGCUAUUUGCGUUUCUACUUUAUUUGAUCUUUUAUUUUCAGAUCUAUAUUAUCAAAA
rnacentral:lncRNA from 1 species